UGGGGAAUCUUCCGCAAUGGACGAAGGUCUGACGGAGCAACGCCGCGUGAGUGAAGACGGCCUUCGGGUUGUAAAGCUCUGUGAUCCGGGACGAAAGAGCCUGAGGUGAAUAGCCUAAGGAAGUGACGGUACCGGAAAAGCAAGCCACGGCUAACUACGUGCCAGCAGCCGCGGUAAUACGUAGGUGGCAAGCGUUGUCCGGAAUUAUUGGGCGUAAAGCGCGCGCAGGCGGCUUCCUAAGUCCAUCUUAAAAGUGCGGGGCUUAACCCCGUGAUGGGAUGGAAACUGGGAAGCUGGAGUAUCGGAGAGGAAAGUGGAAUUCCUAGUGUAGCGGUGAAAUGCGUAGAGAUUAGGAAGAACACCGGUGGCGAAGGCGACUUUCUGGACGAAAACUGACGCUGAGGCGCGAAAGCGUGGGGAGCAAACAGG
rnacentral:rRNA from 1 species